rnacentral:rRNA from 1 species
GAUGAACGCUGGCGGCGUGCCUAAUACAUGCAAGUCGAGCGAACAGACGAGGAGCUUGCUCCUCUGACGUUAGCGGCGGACGGGUGAGUAACACGUGGAUAACCUACCUAUAAGACUGGGAUAACUUCGGGAAACCGGAGCUAAUACCGGAUAAUAUAUUGAACCGCAUGGUUCAAUAGUGAAAGACGGUUUUGCUGUCACUUAUAGAUGGAUCCGCGCCGCAUUAGCUAGUUGGUAAGGUAACGGCUUACCAAGACAACGAUCGGUAGCCGACCUGAGAGGUUGAUCGGUCACACUGCAACUGAGGCACUGGCCAGACUCCUACGGGAGGCAGCAGUAGGGAAUCUUCCGCAAUGAGCGAAAGCCUGACGGAGCAACGCCGCUUGAGUGAUGAAGUUCUCCCGAUCGUAAAACUCUGUUAUUAGCGAAGAACAAAUGUCUACGUAACCAUGCACAUCUUGACGGUACCUAAUCAGAAAGCCACGGCUAACUACGUG